rnacentral:lncRNA from 1 species
GGCCACAGAGAAGGGGUCAUGAGAUUGGAGCUGUUGGCCUCAAAGGUUGAGAACAGCUGAGGGGCAGGUAUGAACUAUGACUAUCUCAAUUUUAUUCAUGAUGCAACUAAAGCUUAGAGAGUUAGUUAAAUGAUAAGACAAUGGUAGAGCUGAAACCCAGGGAGUCUGAUUUUAAAGCUCAUUUUCUUAACCUCUAGGUUAUCAUGCUGCAGAGCUAGAAAUUUCCAGCACGCUUUUUUUAACAGACACUUACAAGGCACCAUGGUAGGUGCUGAAAUGAACAAAGACAAGAUUCUCUGUCCUGAAAACCAGUCCAGUAAGGAUACAAACAAGCACGUAGUCAUUACACACAGAGGAAUUUUGUACAUACAAUGAAAGCCUUUCCUUAGUGGUCUGAUCUGCAAGAGAGCAGAAAGCACCUGAUGAGGACGCCUCCAGACCUAGCUUGCUCAGCUCGGCGUUGUGGAUUGUCCCAGCAGUUGGGAGAUUCAAGGAGUGGGGAGCUUCCACCUAAAACAGACAGGCACAAAAGCCCAGGGAUCCAGCAGAGCCUCAGAGCCACAGAGAAGCCAGCAUGUAACCAGACGCCCGGCCAGCAGAGCCCAAAGAGGAGCAAGUUAAAAGGACUGAAAGAAGACGUCAAGGCCAAAGAAAACAAUCAGGGCUCCUAAACGCUGUAGGCACCACCUUCUCAGACUGUGAAACAGCUUCAGUGCAAACAGAGGUUUCCAGACUCUCCAACCAAAUACCAUCGUUAAUGGUGAAGAACUCCUGACAAUAAACAUUCCAGGGAUGUCUCAGACACAAAGCAGCUAUCAACUGAUUUGGAAUGAACGCCCGCUGUUAUCUGAAAUGAUCUUUUAAAACAUUUUAUGUUGGUCUAAGUGGGGUGGAGAGCUGGGGCGGUUGCAUGUAUGUGGCUCAUCUCUGUUCUUGAAUGAGUGCUCCUUCACGUCUUCUUUUCCAUAAUGGAUUAUAAUUAGCAGUACAUUAGGG